GUACACGGUCCAGGGUUUUCUUUCUCACUCUAUUAAAUUAUCAUUGUUCUUCAUCGAAUUUCCUAAAAAAAUUAUUGCAUUAACUUGAUACUUAUUUUAGAUCCGAUGCACCUCGAGUAUUGGCAAUCUGUCAUAGAUUACACGUGCUUUGUAAACAUUGGCGAGGUCGGGGUAGCAGUGCGCAUCCUUGGCCUCGAUGUUGGCAAUCUUUGAAUAAGUGCUACCAGUGGUGUAGCCAGAGGGGUUUAUAAAUGUAUUGUGAUCUCUGUUAGAUUUUAAUCGCAAAGAACCUUUAUUACUUCAAUUAAUUAUGUUCUUACUUGAUUAAAUAGUAUCAAUAAAAUAUUUUAUAUGUUGGUGAAAUACAUAAUAAUUUUGAAAUCUUAUGCAUAUCCGAAAUUUACUUUCCAAGGAUAUAUUACUACGUGCAGCAUCCUUCUUAGUCCUGAAACGAUUUUCGAUGCAUACAAUUCGGACAUGCGCUAUUGAAUUCAGGUUAUUCGACGCUUGACCGAAAUUAAGAUUGAAGAUUUCUUACUGCAUUCUAGUAUCAAGGAUACCUUUUAUUCUUCCGCUCUCUACAAUCACCGGUCACACAAUUUUAACGCGGAAAUAAAUUUCUAACUUUAAUAAAGCUUUAUCACUUCGUUUUCAAGGAUUGAAUAUGCCUACUAGGUGUGGUUUAAAAAGAUGUUGGAUGAGUUGUGAAAUGGACAAGGAGUAAGAAUGUUUUAACGCAAUGGAAUAUAUUAUAAUAAAGAAGAGGACAUCAAAGACGUACAACUUGAACUUCCUUUAUUUAAAUGAAUCAGAGGUAAUAUGAACCAUCGAUGUAACGUUGCUUGUACAAAAAUCAAACUCAACUUCAUUCUGCAUUGGCUGCUUUUAAUUCUUGAAUACUAUCAACGCAAUUAUCUGAGAAGUGCGAGCUAUUGCGUGUUAUUCUAAUUAAUCGGAACUUCGA